rnacentral:rRNA from 1 species
UCGAACGGUAACAGGUUAAGCUGACGAGUGGCGAACGGGUGAGUAAUGUAUCGGAACGUGCCCAGUCGUGGGGGAUAACUGCUCGAAAGAGCAGCUAAUACCGCAUACGACCUGAGGGUGAAAGCGGGGGAUCGCAAGACCUCGCGCGAUUGGAGCGGCCGAUAUCAGAUUAGGUAGUUGGUGAGGUAAAGGCUCACCAAGCCGACGAUCUGUAGCUGGUCUGAGAGGACGACCAGCCACACUGGGACUGAGACACGGCCCAGACUCCUACGGGAGGCAGCAGUGGGGAAUUUUGGACAAUGGGCGCAAGCCUGAUCCAGCCAUGCCGCGUGCGGGAAGAAGGCCUUCGGGUUGUAAACCGCUUUUGUCAGGGAAGAAAAGGUUCUGGCUAAUACCUGGGACUCAUGACGGUACCUGAAGAAUAAGCACCGGCUAACUACGUGCCAGCAGCCGCGGUAAUACGUAGGGUGCAAGCGUUAAUCGGAAUUACUGGGCGUAAAGCGUG